UACGAGGGGUGCAAGCGUUAUUCGGAUUUACUGGGCGUAAAGAGUGCGUAGACGGCUUAUCAAGUCUGUUGUUAAAUUCCUCGGCUUAACCGAGGCUCAGCAGUAGAAACUGAUAGGCUAGAGUGUGGGAGAGAGAAGUGGAAUUCCCGGAGUAGCGGUAAAAUGCGUAGAUCUCGGGAGGAACACCGAUGGCGAAGGCAGCUUCUUGGACCAUUACUGACGUUGAGGCACGAAAGCGUGGGGAGCAAACAGG
rnacentral:rRNA from 1 species